CUUUCUUCAACUAAAAAAAACAAAUACGAUGUCUCUCAUUCAUAUUCCGCGAAAGAAAGCGAGACAAAAAUAAACAAGUGCAAUGGUCGAUACCAAUUACUCUCAAUGGAAUACUCAUUUGAGCAAGAUGUUGGCAUGAAAUUGCAGUGGUGAAGGACGAGCCGAAUCUAUUUCCAAAGUGCCUCGACCUCGAUCCUUCACGUCAAUAUUCAAAACAUAGUCUGAAUCUAAUUGUCGACUAUGUAUAAUUAAUAAAAUGAAUACAUGGCUAGCCUAGAGAAAAAAGUUUUAACAAUUUUGUCAUUUCCAUUAAUAGUCUAAAUAGUUAUUUUCAGAGCCGGCCCAGACCGGAAGCUGGUGAAGCAAAAGCUUUAAGCAUCAUUUUUUUUUUUGUAAUUUUAGGGGCAUCAAUUUUUAGUUUGUACGUCUGAAUUGUCUUCUACCUUUUAUUAUCUCUUCUUUUUAUUUGUUUUAUAUUUGGAGUCUAGUUAUUUAAAGUAUACAUUUUGGAUUUUAUAUCA